AAUAUAUCGUUAGGAGGAUGGGACGACGUGACGGAUUUGAAAGCACUUUUACCAUAGCCACUUCUAUCGGUAUCAGAUGACCACUGGGCUAGGCUUAUACGAUCUCGUUUAUAAGCUAUUUUAAGAGCUAAGAGGAAGGAAGAAGCAGUGGAUUAGAGACAUCUAAGGCUAGUUUUGCUUUCUUACUCGCUUACUACAGCUGCUUAUUUUCUCUUAUCGACAAGCAAGGAGUUUUCUUACCAAAUAGCAGCUGCACCAAUGAAACAAGGUAGUUCUUUCGCAGAGACAAGGGAAAACAAUCAUUCAAUGAGGUAUGGUACUACACAAGAAAGACAAGUUGCAGCGAAUCGUAGACCAAUGAACAAGUGUAUCUAUUUAUUUGCUACAUAAGUCUCAGCUUACAACCGAUUAGCGACCGACUUCAAGGAAGUGAGGGAAUCAACCCCCCUUUUUACCAUUAGUAAGAACCUAUUUCAGUUGCAUAUCAUAAGGAAUUUGAACAACUGCUUCAAAUACAGUAUUAGGAAGUACCGCUUGUGGAACCUCAAUCUCCACGGUCAUAUUAGCUAAAUGGCAAUUGACACAUACAAUAUGCCCAGUCGCUUCUCGUGGAUUUUCAUAACCCUGCUGUGCAAAACUGGGAUAUGCACUUGAAAUAGAUGUUCGAGUUAAGAUAUAUAUCAUGAGCGAUACGGAAAUAGAUUGAUUAAUCUGUUUCUUUAGCCAAGAAAAAGUAUUUCUAGUUUGCAUGGUCCAAUCAUUGAUCGCAAAAGUUUCUACAAUAAAUUGGGUAGGUCGUUAGUAUAGUUCCCUAGCCAUGAUUCUGCUAUUUGCUGGAAUAAUCUAGAAAUAAUAUAGGAUAAAUCUUCCCGAUGGUUAGAAAUAGAAAGAUAAAAUACGAUUUUCAAUACUUUGCUUAUGCACAACUACAAAGUACCAAGCAUUCUAAUUGGAUUGGAUUAAUAUCAAUGGAUCCUUUAUCAGUCAUUCAUUGAAUGAUAAAUAACUACAAGUGAUGGAGACACACGAUUCAAAUAACGGAAAAUCCAAUAUUUUCAAAUUGUAUCGAGAAUGACUGGGAAGGUGGAAACAAGACCAGAUAUAAUUUGAUCAUUAUGAACAAACCCAAAAUCUUUAUAGAUAGAGCCAAUAAUUAAUUCCCAACCGCGGGGUGAAUGGAAUCCGAUACAUAAAUCAGUUAAUAAAAGAAUAGAAAAAGCUUUUACUGUGUCACUUACGUUAUAUAGGAAUUCCUGAGCCCAAGAGUUAAGAAUAACAAGUUUUUCAUUACCCAAAAUUGAAUACCCGCUUAGAAUAAUAAAACAGAUGAUAUUUGUUGAGAAGUGCAAAAUCGUAUGGAUACGAUUCUCAUUUUGCAUCUUGAUUAAUUGGAUCGUUUCUUUAUGGAUUCCUAUCCCAAACUCUUCGAGAUGUGUUUCCGAGUAUUCCUUGAUCAUUUCGUCCAAGAAGAGGAGUUCCUCUAAUUCUAUGAAUUUUUCUAGAAGACUCUUUUCUUGAAUAGUAUUCAAGAAAAUUUCGGAUUGCCCAGUAUUCCACCAAUUAGUAACCCAAGAUUCCAGACAUUUAUUAACUGAGAAAGAAAUCCACCAGGGCAAAAAUACUAUAUAUGCAAGAUAGAAAAGAGGGGUGAAUGCUUUCUUUUUUGCCAUUUUUUCAUCUGUGAAUUGUUAAUCAACCCAUCCGUACACUCUAUGCGAUCGAAUAUUUCUUACACACAUGAGUUUUAUACAAGGUAUCGAACUUAUGAAUCUAUUUUCUUUGUGAUUUUGUGGUUAGUCUUUGAAUCUAGAAAGAAUACAGAAAUAGGCUAAGAAUUCACUUCGAAUGAAGAAAUUGAGAAUAUUGUUUCCUGAUAUCUCAAUUGGUCAAAUUCAAAAUCAAGUGUCUCCUUUCGAUGAAUGAUCGAAAGAACCACUUUAAGUAAUGAAUAUUGUUCAGAUUUUGAGAAGAAAGAACUCCCUUGCUAUCAAAAUAUCCAAUAUUUCAAAAAAAAAUUCACCAAUUACCCAUAGUCAGGAAUAGAAUAAUUGAGGGAAAGAUAUUAAGAUGAUAAAAAAUGAUUGGCAAAAGAUAAAUUGGCUAGUUCUCAUUAUUUAAUUAAGAAAUCCAAUUGUUGGUCAGUAAAGAAUACAAAAGAAAGAAUUUCCAAUUUAAAAGAAUUUUCAAUUUACAAGAUAUGAUCUAUAUGGAUCUAAAGUGUCAAUUCCAACAAAUAUUGAACUAAAAAAAUUUCUUGAUUUCGAAAUGGUUUGCCAUCUGAGAUGAAUCUAUUAUUUCAAUAUGUUAUUGAAUUGCGUGGGUUUACAUACGCCUAAAGACCAUAAAAAGAGUUUCUUUUUAUGGUUCUUUCAUAUAUGUUUUCUUUAAUUGAAUGAACGUUCUGAUUCUCAAUUUCUCAAAAUACUUCAAUUGGUACACGUAAGAAAUAGGCUAAUUCAGCAGCCUUUUGUUUAAUUUCUCGUGGAGUCAAAUUCUCAUCAGUAGGGUUAAGGGAAUGGACCCCUGGCCUCGGAUGUCCAUAUAAAGAAUACGACGAGCAUAAAUAUCCUCUUUAGCUUCUAUUCUAACGAACUGAAUAUCUUUUAUAAGGAAUCGGAAGAAUAUGCGAUGAUUUUUUUCCGGAAAUCCCCAACGAAAAAUACAGAUUAUUCCUUCCUUUAUAUCGAAUCGAUCAUAACCACUACCUAUAUUCCAGGAAAUUGUGCACCAUAAAUAAAAGCUAAUAAAGAGACCCACAAUUCUGUAGAAAGACAUCACGAUUCCUUGUGGAAAAAAAAUGAUUUGCUGAGGCGGAAAAAAAGAUAUCAAAUUUCUACCAAGAUAACCAGAAGUUCAAACUAAUAAGAAGCCUAAUGAACCUAAAAAAGGAUAAAAGACCAGUAGAAAUUACUUAUUUUUUGAGACCCCGUUAUAAGUUCUAUCCAUAUAUGUUCUGAUCGCCAAGUCAUACUUUACCCAAUUGCAUUUUAUUAGAAUUGAGAUAAUACCCCAUAGAAAUUUGACUUUACUUUUUUGUUUCCGAAGUAACUCUCAUCAACUAGCACUAGUUUGAGGUGAACUAGCACUAGUUUGAUGUCAACCUUUAGGAGUAAUUCAUCAAAUUGGCUAAAUCUAAAAUAAUAACAUACUCUUUAUUUAAUACGAUCCCACUAUACAUAUCGAUAUACAUAGAGACUAACCGACUACAUUUCAGCCAUCCAGUGAUCCUGAUCUAUUUGAAAAUUACUAGAAUGGAUAUAGCCAUAUAUCAUGUUUCUGCAGGCAUAAGGGUUUUUUCCUUUAUGUUCGGUAGAAAUCACAUGUUAUACUCUAUUCCAAUAAAUAGAUAUCCGUGUCAUGAUACAAGUCCACGUUUUAAAAAAAAUGGAUGAGAUUGGGUCCCAGCGUAUCUAACAAUCUUGUUUUUUUGAACAUGAAUAAAUAAAGAAUCCAUUGCAAUUGCCAGAAAGACUAGGCCUACUAGCGGCACAAAAAUAGAUAGAAGGUUCAAAUUUGUCAUGGAAGGGAUACCUCAAUUUACUAUAUUGUAUCUGUUAUUAUGUUAUUAUAUAAAUAAAGAUAUCUUGUAAUAAUUAAAUAAUUAUAAUUAAAUUAAGAAUUUGAAUUCUAAUUAGAUAAUAUUUAUUAUUAAUAGAAUUUGAAGAAUUUGAAAUUCUUAGUAUAGAUCUAAGUAUCUAUAUAUCUAAAUCUAACUGAGUACGUAUAAUAAGAAUAAGUGCAAAGAAUGUAGAACUAAAUAAAUGGACUUAUUCAUCUCUUACAUAAGAAAGAUAUGUAUCAUAAUAAACUUUAUUAUUUUUCUUCAUUUCUUUGUCUUUUGUUCUUGUCUUCUAAUUUUCUAAAAAUAGAUAAGGAGAUUAUCAAAAGAUUCGUUCGAAUCCGACCCAACAUGAAUUUUUAGCUAAAAACCAUGAGAUAGUAGACUUAACAAGAGCAGGGAAUAUGGAAACUAAGACGCAUUCCGUCUAAUUGCUAAAAUGCCCCCUUCAACAACAACAUUCAAUAGCAUCCUUUCUUCUUAUUCCGAAAAAACUAACUGCUGACUCAACCUCCCCUCGGGUCUACGCACUUUGUCUUUGUUUUUAGCAUCAGUGAUUGAAAGAGAGUAGGAGCCCAUUCUAUAUAUCUCAGAAAGAAAGUAUCAACCCUUUGGUACGAAAGUAGGCUCUAGCUUCUCAGUAAGUCAUUCAAUGAACUAACUAUACUUAAGAUGUGAGCUAUACCUAUUCCUUCUUUUCUUAUGUCUUCCCUUUCGGGCCGGAUCGGAUAAAGAAAGGAGCUAAAGAAUAAAAUAUUCAUAAAAGUAGUCCUUACAUCCCUCCACAAGCAUAAGUAGAGUCUCUGACUUCAAUAGCCAGUCUUGUACUAAUAGAUUGCACAGUGCCCGGUCCUCUACGAUCUAUUGACUGAGUAGUCUCCAACUUCUGUAUUCUCCUUCCUGGAUUCCCUUCCAUUCAGCUCUCUAACUAAAGGAAUGAAUCUCCUUCUAGUCCUUAAGCAGAGAAAAAAGGCACAGCUUCAUUGAAUCCUGUGGGAAUACGAUUUCCUCCCUCCCUAGUAUAGUACAAGUACUCUAUUUGAAUUUGAUUAAUAGGCCCUACCCCUAGUUCAAGGACUAAGUGAUUUACAUAUCUACCUUUCUACCUUUAGCACCUAAGCGAGUGUUAAUGCUAAUACCAACCUUUUUGAAAUGGAAUUGUAGCCGUGUAGGCUCUCCAACCUUUAAGAACGUCAUGAUUAAGAUAGCUGCCUUUUGAAAGUCAGUCUUUGGGUACUACCUGCCUUUAUCAACUAAGUUGAUAUAGGACCGUCCUUUCUAAGCCCAUUUCUGCAGAACUCUUGGGACUAAGAUUCCGUACCUAGUACAGUCAAUCAGAGGCUUAGACUAUGUAUGCAUGUAGCUUACCUGAGAUAGGUAGAGGAAGAGGAGGCAAGAACUUGCUUGGCAUGAGACUUCUACGAUAAUCCCAUGUCUUCAGGCAAGGUAGCGUUAGCUAUCCUAGGUUGUGAACUGGAUCCGAUCAGUGUAUUCUUCGAUCAUAGUUCUAUUUAAUGGCUGAUUUAUUACUUCGUAACCUGAGUUUAGGUUGUUGUGUGAGUCCCAGAGAACAAACUCAGGCACCUUAUACCCCUUUGGAAACUGAUGAACUUGGUUGAUCCAAUCAGGGUAUGGUUUCCUAGACGGCGGCCUCAUUAAGGGCUUGACGUCAAUUCCAAGCUGCUGUAGCACCUCGACCAUGUAAUUUCUUUUUAGAUCCGAUGGUGCCUGUGGAACUAUUGUGGUGGGGAAUGCCCCUUGUUGUGAUGCUUGCUACUCACCAGAGUUCGCGAGUGCACUAGAAAAAGGAAAGGAGCGGAGUGCCCGAGGAAUUGGCUUUCCAUGUAUCCAUUCCUAGGGGAUAAUAUGAAGCUAUAACCUACAAGUACUAACUAGUUAGCAGGCUCACGACUAGGUACGUUCUUUUUCUAACUAAUUACUUUCAAGUAGAGUAGUGGACAUAGAAAGACUUUACUUAAUAGAGUAAGGUAAGGAAUAGUUAGGGUAGGCGCAAUCAGUCUGUCACACCCCAAAUCCUAUUAAGGCGGAUUGGCACCCGUUGCCGGUAAGGCUCGGGAGAACCAACCUAUAGCGAUACAUUACCUAUGAACAUUAUAAGUUACUUUCAUACUAAACAUACCCUCAAAAGAUAAAUAGGACUAGCAAGCCAAAAGAUAUUAUAUGACUAGGCCGUUGGAGCCACAAUGUCUACGGUACGAUACAUGACCAUACUAUACUUUACGUAGUCUACAAAGCCUCUAGACAAGAAACGUUAUCUUAUAAGGGUCGGGACAGGCCCCGCCUCAUGUUAAGAUACUAUACAAUGCAAAAAGAUAUGAUAAGACUCGAAGCCCCGAAGCAACCUGGAGCUCAGUGACUGCGGUUGAUAUCCUGUACUCUUACUAGGGAGGUUUAUUAGCUUCUGUACCUGUAGCAUGGAAUGCAGGUCCCCCAAGAGGGACGUCAGUACGAAAUAAUGUACUGAAUAUGUAAGGCAACAUGUACUAUAUAUGAGAUAAAAACUCAAAUGAAACCAUGUACUGCUGUAGGGUAAAAGACCACCUUUAUGAAUAUUGUGGAGUCAUGUAUCUUAUAACAAUUAUGUUACUUUACUCUUAUUACUUGAAUAAUCUGUGCACAGCAUGUAAUACAAAUGACCAGCUGAUCAGUGGUAAUUCUAUAUCAGGAUCGACCCAUGCUAGGCUUUCCUUUCACCCCUGGGAUACCCCCUGUAAUACUGGGAUUGACCCAUGCUAGGUGAUUCUUUCACCCCUGGGAUACCACCCAACAGAAGCAACUGUAUACAUAUAUCUUCUUAUUACUUUUGAGAUGAAUCUUUGGUGGUCGUAACAUUUGAGCUAUAAGACUAUAAGCAUGACAAAUGACAAGUAUGUGUCCAUGUAACAUCAUAUCAUAAUGAAAAGAGUGGGUUGUACAAUUAGUGAAACAUGUAGGACAUAAACAACGUAUGAACUUUAUUUAGCUAAAAAGAAGACUCAUAUGUCAUGGUACCCAAUGUAUGUAUGCAGCAGUGACAAUGCUCGAAUCUGGACACACAAGUACAUGUUAAAGAGUGGAGUGGUUAUGUCAAAGUUUGUAAAGAUCUCUAUGUGCCAAUGAAGACUUUGGAUUCCAUGCCAAAUAAUAAGAGAUCGAAUAGCCUUACAUACCUCGACAUAUCAACUUGUUUUUACGUCGAAAUGACUUCUUUUCUUCCAACUAUUUAUCUACAAUAUCAUGUUUUAAAGCUAGUAUUAGCAGCUAAUCAAUGCAUCUGGACAGCCCAAUCUCACAAGACACAACACUUUGGCAACAAACGUAUAACCAUCAACUCAAUGGUGUUAUUCCGACUUUCUCAAUUCUAACUGUAUUCAACCAGCAUAGAUUAUCAUAUACAUGAUGUAUACAGCCUAUAUUAGUUCUAUAACAUGCUGGCAACAGUCCAUAACUACAACACAUAACCAUUUUACAAAACGCUCAACUAAGAAGCACAACAUCUCGUCGUCUCCCUACAUUUCGUCGUUAACAAUUCAUACUUGUCCCAACUUUGAACCAGAUGCUCCCAACAUAUAUAUACAUCAAAUAAACCUUAACAUAGUCACAAAAUAGCUCAAAACGUAGGGGAAACGUGAAACAACAUCCCCCUCAACAAAACAGUCCAAUACCAGUUUGGAAGCACAUAAGAUCAUAUAAGGAUACUUGUUUCCAAAGAACUAGCAAAACAGUCCAGCAACCUUGGCAACCAUAUACACACUAUAACAUGUUAAUAACCUCAACUUUACAUCAUAUUAAAGUGAAAAAUCAGGGUAAAAAUCGUUCCAAAGCCAAGAAAACCAAACAACAACUUUCAGGACACAAGCUGUCCAGAAAUUCCUGCACAGUGAACCAGCCAACUUAUCUUGUUUUCCAUGGAAAAUUCAUAUCAAGUAUAUGGUUAUUUUUACAUACCUUAACUCCCAAGGUGUAGGUCUAAUUCAAGAACUCAAAAAGUAGCCUUUGGUUGCCUUCCAAGGUGAAGAAAUACCAAGAGAAACUUAGAGAGAAAUUCUGAAAUUUUUUGGUCUUUUCUUUGGUUAACCUAGAGCUCGGUUUUGGUCCCUUUUUAAGGAGACUUUAGACCGACUUUCUCCUAAUAUUUGUAGCUGAUUAACUCAAGUUGGUCAAUGACUAAUUUUCCCCUUUCACUUGGGCCUUAGACUUUAGACCGAAUUUCUCCUAACAUUUGUAGAUGAUUAACUCAAGUUGGUCAAUGACUAAUUUUCACCUUUCACUUGGGCCUUUUGGAUCUCUAAAUCAAUGGGCUUUAGUGGCCCAUUUCCUUACUCUUUCUUGCACUUUGUUUGGGCUCAAUUUUGUUAGUAGUGAAUGAAUGUAGUUGGGCCUAUUAUAUAAAAAUCUUGGGCUGAACAUCUUGGCCCAAUAUAAUGUUAAACCAUUGUCUUUAAUAGCCUCCCUAACUUGGGCUUCGUUUGUCACAAGACUUGGAAAGUUUCGGCGUUAAGCCUUGUCUUCGUUCCCCUUUCUUUUUACUAACGUCUAGACUUCAAGUGAGUUCACUUAUGAAUGAAUUCUUCUCCCUCAUGUAUAUAUAAUUUUUAAGCUAAGCACACAGGUGACUCACCUGCUAGCUUCCUAAGUUCCAUAAGCAUGUCAAUGAUUUUCUCCGUUUAAGGCCACAGUCUCUAAAUAGACUUCCAUAUAGUGCCCCAAUCUAACACUUGAACACUUGAAAAAUUUUGUUAGUAAUUAAAUCAAGUCGUAUGUCAUUUUAUGUGAACAUUACUAGUACAUGUAAAAUGUGGGGUGUUACACAGUCACGAUUCGCAUCCUUACUGGAAAUAUCUAUCUUCCCUUUGUCAGUCUUUUACUUCUUUCCUAGGGAGCAAGAAAAGGGCAGCCAUUAGCUCAUCCGUAUCUUGCCCCCAAUUAGUAAGUAAGCCUUCAGUUACCGUGAUUAUUUUCUUCGCCAUAAUGUCAGUUCAAUGUCAAUGACAAUGAUGGUGAAGAAAAGAUGAUCUAAUAAGAUAAGUGUUGAUUAGGAUGAUUUUUGAAUGUGCUCUGUGCUCUCUUCAAUAAAGGCAAUGAACGAAGAUUUCUUCUUAUUUACAGCACUAGAGUCGAGUCGACUUCGGUUCUCUUUCUUUUCAUUUGGUCCAAAGAAUAGGAUCUCUUGCAUUGCGGUACAGCAUAUUCCGACAUAUGGUAAAGUAACCAUUCAUACUAACUUCACAGGAAUAAGCAGAUCAAAGGAAUAACCAUAAAAAAAGAAGGAAAAUGCAAAAUAUACAAAUACGUCGUACUUAAAUAAGUAUAAUCAACACGCAGUAGCCGGGAAAUUAGAAAAACAAGGGCGUUUUGACGUCAUAAUCUUUUUUGAUUGCAUUUUUCACCGGGCUUGGACCAUGUCUCCCAAACAAUCUCAGUACAUAUGGUGCAAGACGAUUCCAUAUAUCGAGGUCGGAAUGGGAUGGGGUGUUUUCACGUCUUACCGUAGUGCCCGGUUUGUCUUAAUUUCCGAUUGAUGAACAAGAAGGAAAAUGGAACAAUUGGAUUUUGGACUCGCCCCCGGAUACGUGUCCUUUGGACCCUUCGUCUGCCCGCCACCAGUGAAAGUAAGCUAGCCCCCUAUGUUGGAAAGUUAGGGGAAGAGUGCAUUUCCAUCACGAAAGAUUCAAUCCAGCCACAGGUUCCCCUACGGCUACCUUGUUACGACUUCACCCCAGUCGAAGACCCCACCGUGGUAUGCACCAAUAAGACCACGAAAGGCCUUUGUGGCACUAGUGUGCCACAGAAGUCAUGGGUGAUCAUUGGUCUGAUGCUUCGGGCGAAACUAAUUCCCAGGGUGUGACGGGAGGUGUGUACAGGGCCUGGGUACAUAUUCACCGCGGCAUGCUGAUCUGCGAUUACUAGAGAUUCCAACUUCAUGUUCCUAAGUUGCAGAGAACAAUCCGAACUGAGGCAAUCUUUCCGGAUUCGCUCUGCCUUACAGCCUUUCUUCCUAUUGUAAUUGCCAUUGUAGAACGUGUGUGGCCCAGCCCAUAAGGGCCAUAUGGACUUAACGUCAUCCCCACCUUCCUCCAGUAUAUCACUGGCAGUCUUUCGUCAGUGCGGCACGCACCUUUUUGUUGGUUUUCGAGCUGUUUGUUUGGGCGGGGCGUACUAAACCCACUAUGUACCACACCACCGGGUGGCUCGCCUGAAUACCAAGUCUUUCUUUGCCAUCAACUUGACAUCAUCGUCACCUGAAAGAUAUGGCCAAAAACAUCGACUUUACUAAACAAGAGAGAAAGGCCCUUUCUAUCAUCAUUAGUCAAGCGCGCUAGCUGCAAUAAAAAAGAGCGCUAACUAGAAAUAGAAAGUGCUUCAAAAGGCACCGGCUACCUUCUUACUGGCAGCACAGCUAGGUGCUGGCACUCAAUUAGUAGCGCUGGCACGUCACUCGGCUCCUCAGCUCACUUCGGUUGCAAAGACUUUCUCCUUAGACGCAUGCCUCAGUAACACAAAAUGAGGGUUUCGCUCGUUAUAGGACUUGAGCAAACAUCUCACGACACGAGCUGACGAUAACCAUGCAGCACCUGUAUGAAAGUCAGUACCAUCCCGUUAAGGAUAGGUUUUCUUGUUCAUAUAUCAAGGGCUGGUAAGGUUUUGCGCAUUGUAUCAAAUUGAACCAUAUGCUCCACUACUUGUGUAGGCCCUCGUCAAUUCUUUUGAGUUUUGGUCUUACGACUGUACUCCCCAGGUAGAGUGUUUCAUGCAUUGCUGGGCCCCUGAUCCGCGUAGAACAAGGGUGAACACUCAUCGUUUACGGCAUGGACUACUAGGGUAUCUAAUCCUGUUCGCUCCCCAUACUUUUGCACCUUAGCGUCGAUAGGGACCUAGAGAGUUGCCUUUGAUUUUGGCAUUCCUUCGUAGAUCUCUGGAUUUCACCCCUACACAUGAAAUUCCACUCUCCACUGUCUCAUUCAAGUGAAUUGGUUUCAAGAGCAUUCCGCCAGUUUUUGGCUGCUUUCACUUUCAACCUGAUUUACCACCUACAUGCCCUUUAUGUCCAGUUAUUCCGAAGAACACUUGCCCCCCUCCGUCUUACCACGACUGCUGGCACAGAGUUAGUCAGGGCUUCUUCCUCGAGUCCUGUCAUGAUCACGCACUCGAUGAAAGAGCUUUACAAGAGGCAUUGCCCUUCUUCACUCACACAAUAUUACUGGAUCGCACUUUUGCCCAUUGUCCAAGAUUCCCCACUGCUGCCCCUCAUGGGAGUUUGGGCCGUGUCUUAGUCCUAGUGUGGCUGAUCAUCCGAAAAGACCAGCUAAGCAUCAUUGGCUUGGUCAGCCUUUACCUGACCAACUACCUAAUACUACACAGGCUCUUCAAACAGUGCUUUUUAGCUUUCUUUAGGAUUUGGCCCGAAUUGUUCGGCAGAUUCCCACGCAUUAUGCACCCGUUCGCCACUUUGUUCUCAACUCUUCUUACCUCCUGGGAAAGACAAGCUACCUUUAUCUAGGAGCCACUUUUCCUUCUGCCCAGCUCCCCAAAAACAACGUUCAACUUGCAUGUGUUAAGCAUAUAGCUAGCAUUCCUUCUGAGCCAGGAUCAAACUCUUUUUUUGACUAUGAUUGGGCCCUGCAGUGGUAGAACCUGGUGAAUCGGGUGUACUAUUUCCCAACCUUCUGUGAACUUUUCUUCUCUUAUGCUUUUUGCUACUUUUUUAUAGUAUUGGUCUCGUUUAGAGUAUCAGUCUAGUCACUCAAAUAGUCCACUCAUGGAGUGCGUUUGGUAUAGUAGUAGUCUGGUAGUUGAGACUUUGCCCCUUCUUCUUCAGUAAAGUCGAGCCCAACUAAACUAUUGAUUACGCUAAACAUAGCUUUAGAGGCUCUUACUAGAUAGGGCGGCAGAAUAGAAGUCUCACUACAAGCUUUUAGUCUUAAGCAGGCAGCGGCGGUCAGGAAUGAAUGUUAUAUUAAACUAUCCGCCAUUUCAUUAGGACAACACUUGCUUAGUUUUUUUCUAGCUUGAUUGCGAAGCAUGGUUUGGAAAGGUCAGUUGAAAGACGAUAUAUAUCAACAUUCAAACCUAUUACUUUGUGGCUGGCCCCAGUGCUUAACAUCAGGUUCUCUCCACAUACAUAUGAAAAGUAAGACAACCAUAUUAGCUCAUCAACUCUCCUUAACGUACCCUCACUAUAUAGGUGCGGACUUGCGUACGGUUUCACUUACCUAACAGCUGCCAAAAGCAAAAGCUUCAAUAUUGAUGGGCUUAUUAUCUUUUUUCUUAUCUUAAUAAAAGGGAAAAUAAGAGAGAGAUCACUCCUCCGGCAGUCGCUAAACAUUGUGCCUUCCUUUCUGCUUACACCAUUUCUUUAUGAAUGCUCCGCUUUUCGCUUUGUCGCGCUACUUCUGCUAGCAACCGGCUUUGGAUUCUCCUUAAGGCACCGUGUUGAGUAGGGAUUUGAAUAGAAACUCUAUUUUAGGGAUCAAUGUUGCUGGACUCUACUCCUCUCCCUAGGCUUGCUCUGCUCUAUACCCAAAGCUUCAACUCAAUCACUUGAGACUUCUGGUCUUAUGUCCUCCACACAGGCCUUGAAUGCUUCUUUUUAUAAUGAAGUCGAGUUAUGGCAUCAUAGAUUAAGGUAUCUUUAUGUGUCAAAGAGACGAGUCUUAGUUCCUAGUUUAUCUGAAUCAAGUGUGUCUGAGUUGCAGUCUUAUGUAUGUAAGAGGGCUAAGCAUAUUCUAAAGUAAUAUUCCUAUAGUGAGAGUCAUUGUAGUGUACUAUUUGAGUUAGUUCACUCUGAUGUACGGGGGAAUGCCCCUACUCUUUCUUUAUUGGGUUAUAAUGAUUUUGUGACUUUUUUGGAUUCUUUAUCUCAUCUUACUACUAUUUAUCAACAAAUAUCAUUGGAUGAGGUUAGUUUUAUCCUUCCUUUAAGAUGAAUCUUCAAAAGUCUUUAUGGUCUGAAGCAGUGUUAACCUAGUUUUACCUGAUUAAUAGGGAUGCUUUCCAUGGUAUUGAAAGGGACCUGUACAAGUGUGAAAUCCUAAUGCUAAAAACUUUAUUCUUCUACCUAAUUUCUAAAUGUAUCGAAGUCCUGGGUAGUAAAGAAAAGUGGGAUGCUAUAUUUCCAGGAUUGGGAUUCGUAAGUAUGUUAAUAGAUUCUUGAUCUAUAUCUUCUAUUUUUGGGUGUGUGUUAUGUCUAUGUAACCGGGACCUCUCAUGAGAAAUUGGAUCCUAGAGCUGUGAGAUGUGUCUUCACUGGUUAUCCGACAUCACAAAAUGCUUUGAUCCCAUUACAAAAAGAAAGUAUGUCUCUAUGGAUGUUACUUGAUUUUCAAAUCAACCCGAUUUUCAUGACCCAACCAAGAAAACCUUGAGUCAUCAACAAGAAGAACCUGAGUCAAGUGAUCAGCCGUCUUUUAUAAUCCCUAUGUCAUCUGCCCAUAGAGAAAACAAUGCUACUACUCCUCCAGGGGAAGAUGCGGUCAAGACCAAUUAGUGGAAGACAUACUAACCUGACGAGGUAAGAGAGGACAAGUUGUCCCUUAUGUUCCUCUUGUUAACAGCGAGGAUCUUUUCCUUGAAUUGGGAAAUGCCAAUAUGCCUCAAGUGAAGAGAGUGAAACUAACCCUGAAACUUCUGAUCUUGAUCUUACGAUUACAGUCAGGAAAGGGGAAAAAGAGCUUGUACCUAACUCCCUUUGAACUACUAUAUAUCCUAUCCAAAAUUGUCAUCCUCCUACAAGGCCUUUAUAUCCACUUGUAAUUCGGUAUCCAUACCAAAGACUAGAAGGAAAGCCUUGUGUGCCCGUUACUGGAAUAGGGCGAUGAUGGAUGAGAUGAGUGCACUUGAGAAGAAUGAGACAUGGGAGAUUGUUGAUUUACCUCCUGGAAAGAAGACUGUGGGAUCUAAAUGUAAAUGGAUAUACACAGUGAAAUUCCAACCAAGUGGGGGAGAUUGAGAGAUAUAAAUCAAGGUUAGUGGCAAGAGGAUUCACACAAACCAAAGGAAUAGACUAUGGCGAGACCCUUUCAACAGAGGCAAAGGUCAUUUCUAUUAGAAUCUUACUUUCCUUGGCUACACAGAGAUCAUGGCGAUUGUAUCAGUUAGAUGUGAAAAAUGCCUUUUUGCAUGGGGACUCGCACGAGGAGGUGUAUAUAGAGAUAGCACAUGGAUAUGGAAUGAAAGGCGAGUCACAUAAAGUAUGCAGAUUGAAAAAAGCCCUGUAUGGAUUGAAGCAAUCCCUGAAGGCGUGGUUUGAGAAGUUCAGUAAGGCCAUAGUUUAGUUUGGCUACGAAAGGUGUGCUUCUGAUCACACACAUUUCGUAAUGUAAUAAAGGGUGAGAAAGUGAGCCGGAUCAUAGUAAAUAUUUAGAAUAUUGUGGUCACUGGUGAUGAUGUUGAUGAGAUUGCAAGAUUGAAGGCUUACCUGAGCCGCACCUUCGACAUAAACUUAGCAUGCUGACGGUACUUCUUGGACACAGAGGUUUUCAAAAUCUAUAAGAAGUAGAACCAUCUCUCAAAUUAUGUCCUUGAUUUGAAGAAAACAGGGAUGUUAGGUUGCAAGGACGCAAUUAUCCCAAUAGAAGAAAAUCAUAAGCUUGAAGAAAAGAGAAAAGAACCCUUGGAUGAUGUAGGCAUCAGAGACUUGUGGGAAAAUGUCAGAUAUCAUACUAUCACUAGACCUGACAUUACCUAUGCUGUGGGAUUGGUAAGCCAUUAUAUGCAUGCUCCUUGUCAAGCACACCUACAUGUAGUAUAUAGGAUCUUGAGGUACCUCAAAGGUUAUCUUGGUAAAUGUAUGAUCUAUACUAAUCAUGGCCAUGGGAGAGUGGAAAUCUAUAGUAAUGUUGAUUGGGGUGGGUCAGUAGAGGACAGGAGAUCAACUUUAGGAUGAGAAAAAAUCACUGAGAAAGCAUCUUGGCAAAGAUAAAAGAGUUUGACACCUGACCGAAACAAAGCCCGUAUUCUUCCUAAACCCCCUAUUCUUAGCAUGACGGAUAUUGAAUAAAGGGACGACCAAGGGGAUUUGAGGGAAGCAUAAAGGAAGACGCCAAAAGUUUAUGUUAAAAGAGAUGGCUAUGAGACUAAUGCAAACAAUAUGUGGAAAUAGUCGAUUUAGUAGUCUUCUUUCUUUCUCCGGGUAUGAACUCCUCCCUUGAGGAAGGCCCCUGUUGUGGAAAUUCAACACAGAGGGUGUAGUUACUAUAACUAAUAAGAAGCAUAGUAAAGUCAGUGUAGAAUAAUGAAAUCUCUUAUUAGCGAAGGAAGGAAGGAAGUGUAGCUUUGAAAGCACCAAGGAGGCAUUAGGGGAAACCGUCAUAGGAAGGAAGUGUAGCUUUGAAAGCACCGAGGAGGCAUUAGGGGAAACUGUCAUUCAAGGUCGGAAGAAUCGGAAACCGACUUAAAAAUGGAACCCUUUCUCUAGCAGCCUCUUGGCUUCUUUCUUUACAAUCAGUCCAGGCCAGUAGCUGCUCCUGGCUUUUGGACAGCUAGAGCACCGACAGAUAGAGUGAAGAGUCCAUAAGGAGAAGAGCCAAGGCUUAUUGUAGAUAAGGGUUGUAUACGAUAAGUUUGAGUCAACUAUCUUAUUCGCGAGAAUUUAUUCUCUUCGGUCUUGUCUCCUCACUAAGUGGCUGCACACACCUAUCUUAUAGAUAGAGUCAUGCACGAAACGGGUAUUUACUUGUUAUUUUUAGCAUGUGCUAGCUAAAGGGUAUCUGCGGUUGAAUUCAUUGUUUUGCUGGUCGACUGAGGAAAAGGCAAAUGGUAUUUGGAGGAAAGGCAUGAUUUUCGUCUUGAUGAAGUGUAGAACGGGGUUUUCUUUCCAUUGAGCCGGGGAGACAAUCUAAAUCGUAGUCAUUGUCCAUUAUUUGAUUGAGCACGACGUGGUCUGCUAGUCACGUUAAACCAUCCAAAGGAGUACCGUUAGCCCCCAAAAGUGUUUUUCUUCUCGCGCGAAAGAAAAAAGAUGUUUAGCUUUUUUUAUCUGCCUCCUUUACCUAUCAAAGAUUCUGUUAACAUUGCAGAUGGCGCUCUCUUACCUCUUUCACACUAUGGGUCUAUGUCUUCAUCCCGGAUUCUUCAUGAUAGAUUCCAUUUUCCUCCUAAAAAGAAAUUUCUGUCAGUCACCUUGCAGCUAACCAUCUUCGUGUCAUCUUUUCUUCUUCUGAGUGUCUUAUCCACGAUCAGCGCAUGGGAAGGAUUGUUAGCCGAUUGGGAAAGCUUUAUUAUACGGAUAUUCUUCUCUACAUUCCCUUUUUUAGCUACUUCGUUAGGAUAAGGAAUGGGACCCGCCGUCGCCUGAGACAUACACAACACACAGUGCAAGAAUUCUUCCAUUAUCUAGGGUAUAUUCCUGCAUUUCAUUUAGAUGGGUUGAACAAUUCAUGUGAUUGUUUACAGUUGGAAAUUGUAUGCUCCUGGAUUAAACAUAAGAAUCCAAUUCUUUCUUUGGAUUGAUUCAUUCGUUAGUGUCCACUUGUGAUUUGACCUACGGCUGAUUGUUGGAUAUAUCACAGACAACUACUUGAAUUUCAUUAAGGGGUCCUACUCGAGUGCAGUCAUUCAUAGGUGCAAGGUACUUUACUUACUAUUAUAAGUGGAUGACUACAGUAGAUACAUCUGGCUUUCUUUACUUAGAGAGAAGUCCUAAGCUCUUUUGUUGUUGAAUAUAUAGAAAGUUUGGAAAAUAAGUCAAAUCUCCAGAUCAAGAGGUUGAGGUCUGAACUCCGGUGGAGAAUGCAUGUCAAGGGUGUUUGAUUUCAUGCUCCUGAAGAUAGGAAUCAAACGUGAGCUGUCGUGUGUUCAUACUCCACUGCAGAAUAGGGUGUCUGGAAGAAAACACCGACAUAUAGUUGAAAUGGCUUUGACUUUGAUGAUAAAUAAUGGAGUACCAAAUCAUCUAUGGGUUGAAGCAUUCACUACUGCAGUGUAUUUAAUCAAUAGAUUGCCAUUUUCUAUUAUCAACAUGCAAUCUCCCUUUUCUUCUCUUUAUGGUCGUGAUACUUUUCAGGGGGAGAUCACUACCCUUUCUGAGACAUCUGACUGGGGUGGCCAUCACCUUCUCGUCGGUGAUCACUGUCGCCAAGAAUGGCAUAGUCGCAAAGCUUCGUUGUGCCAUACACCCUUUCAGUAGCUAUCCACACAAGCAUAUGAUGUUUAAGUGUGAAUAGAGGCUAAUAACUCAAAAAUCAGAGGGGUUGACCCUUCAUAAACGUCACAACUGAUGACCUAUAGACUUUAUUAUAUUAUAGAAACUAUAUGGUAAUUGAAAGACUGUACAGAACAAAGUAUGAACAGUCCAGGAAGUUGCAAAGGGAUUUCCAAACAACCCUACAUAUAGGACAUUAGGAUAACAGAUAAGGAAUCGAUAGCAGCCUUAACAUAGAUAAAAAGAGAAGAAUUUUUGCUUUCUUCUGAAGUACUGCAACGGUUGGGUCUUAUUAUAGGUACCAUCCAUUCUGAACCUUGCCAAAACCUUCAUCCAUCAUGUAUAGGCCGUACCAAGGCCUGAUAUAAGGGUAAGCCAAUAGCAAAUAACCUUUUCUUCCCUGCCUCCUCGACCUUCAUUCCCAUUCUACAGCCAAAGUGAUAGCGGCUGUAGCAUCCACCAAUAAUGUGUGGAAGAGGGUAAGAUUUCUAUGUGGAUAGGACGUAUCAACACCUUUUGCAUCUUUUUAUUUGAAAAGAAAUAUAGUGGAAUAAUAUAGUGUUGGGUCCUGAGGACUAUGAUGGCCUAAGAUCAAAACCUAAAUGUGCUAGGGUUGAUCAUCGAAGCCUGGGCAAUAACGAUUAAGGAAUUUGAGCGCUGAUGUAGCUAAGAGCCACCUUCAUCGUCAAUUCAUUAGGGUUGUCACCUUCUACCCAAAAAAGUAUCCACCCUUUUAUUUAUCUAUUAAGCCUCACUACUAUGGGACUUUCUAAAGAAAACUGCAAUCGCAGUUUAUCAACCACUCACAAGACCACCAAGAUCUUUGACUUAGCUCCCAAAGGUAAUCCACCCGGCCCUUUCCCAACCUAUACAAGGAGAGUGGAAGAUAACGAAAGGGAGACAGGGUCCUAACUAAAUAUAACACAAACUAUCAUUCUAUCUAUCAUAUUAGUCGAGUCAAUCCGAUUCGUUCUUAUCUAUAGAUAAGGCAAGAGAGAACUUAUGACCUCAUGGAUGGAGAGGGAUUCGAACCCCUGGUAUUUCAAAAAAUACUUCGGUUUUCAAGGCCGACUCUGUCAACCACUCAGACAUCCAUCUCCUUUGUGCUUCGCCCACCCUAUCCAUCCUUAGUUGGAAGAUAGGGGCUUAUCUAUGUGAUUCUCUAUGCUUGCCUGCGCCUAUCGGCUGAUUCUAUUGCCUGCCGGUUAGCAAAACUUUUCCAAUAAUUUGAAUCGCUACGCUUCGCCUCUUUGUAUAUGAUAAUAUGCAUCUUGGUUGCUGCGCUCCCUAUGGGUAAUAGCAAGAGAGUGAAUAACGAAUGAUCCUCCAAACUCAAAGAGUGAUUGAGUCCGACUCAAGCAAGUGAGUGAAAGGCGUGGCAAGAGAGCGAGUUUGACUUGCGAAUGAUCAUCAAGUGAAGGACCGAUCCUUUUACGCCAAUACUAUUGCGAGACUGGUACUUGGAGGCUCACGAGCAACAUAUAGACUAAAGUUGCCUAUCACUCCCUUGCUCUUUUUUGAAGGCCCUUUCAAUUCUCUUUCAAGUAUGCUUCCUCCAUAAGAACACUGAACGCCUAGCUUUGCAGAGCAGCUCUCUCCCCAGCCCACAACAUAUUGUGGAAUCUGGAUCCUUUCAUCGAGCAUCAUUUCUUUUAGAUAGAAAGGUGUUCUGACUCUAUUGAAUCAAGUCAUAAGCUAAGACUUCUACUAGUAGACUACUAUAGAGAGACUAAGCUCUAUUUCAGAGAUCGGACUCUCUUAUUGUGAUUAGUUCCUACUAGUAAGAAGCUGUUCCCGAGCCAGGUUCCCUGGAUCCACGUGUUCCUAGCCGGGCCUAAAUGGAUGAAUGAAGAAGCGCGCCCGGGUAGACUUCAAGAGCUCUUGCUCUGCCUAUCCUCCAACUUCUUAUUCUGGGGGUCAUAGAAAGAUACAAACCGCUUACUCUCCCUGCCAUUAGAUUGUUGAAAAUGAAAGCGGCUUGUCCUUACUAAUAAAAAACAGCAAUCCCUCCCCUUCUGUUACCUACUUUUACUCAUUUCUUCAGUAUACCUUAAUACAAGACAAGCGCAGGAAAGGAUAAACAAUUAAAACUGGGUUAUCGCCCUAUCUAAGCACCUUUCCCCUCUCUUCUAUGGAAGUAAUCAUCAAAAUCUAUUUCAGUUCCUGUGUCUGUCGCUAUCGCCCUAUUCUCUCUCAAUUGCCUAUCCUUUUUAGAUGAGGGGUAGUCCCUUAGCAGUAGCUUCCACCACUUCAGAUUGACCUCCUCAAGUGCCAGAUAUGAAUGUUUUCUGAAUUUCAUAAGGGACUACUUACUUACCGCUCCGUGGGGUACACUUUUAGCUUACCAAAAAAGUUGACUGAAGGAACUGACCUAAGCACAACUCUCUCUCUCAAAUACAAAUGUCAAGAAAGGGAUUCCUUGGAUAAGUGGAAAAAUGCUCCAAAAAUCCUUUCAUUUCUCUUUAAAGGCCUUUGUCCUACUUAUAGUAUCAGUCCUCCAGCCUAUACUUGUGUUUUUAUUAACCAAGAACACAUGUACUUUGUUGGCACUCAAAAAAAAGGUUAUUCAAUCCAAUAGUGCAACUGAAGGUGCAUAACCUCUUCUGAACCGGAACAAGAAAGAGCUCAUAACCACUUCUUGUGAACAACUCUCCUCAACUUAAGGCGCACCUACUCUUACUAAAAGUCUAGUCUCUCUCAGCUUUUGAUCUCUAACUAACUUACUUAAUAGGCCAGACCGGAAGAGAGAUAUUCAGAUAACCCAAUUUCCUGGCUUAAGAACCUGACUCAAAAGAGAAAAGAAGACAAGACUAAAAAAGAUCUCACUUUCAAUGAUUGAACGUCGACUUUUUUAUCCAGAUUGGAACAGGACUUAAACUUCUUUGGAUCCUGCUUAGGGCUGGCUUUCACUUUUGAAACAUCGACUUGCACUUGCAAUAUAGAAUUUAACUUUUCGGAAUCCUUGCUGUUGGCUUAUAUUUACAUAGGCCACUCAUAAGAAUAAGACGUUCAACUCCCUAAAACACGUGUAAUUGAGAGAGUCAUCAUAUCAGUGCCUUGGGGAAAUGCCUACCUUCAGGAGAAGAUUACCGAAUGAAUUUCAAACCUGUCCUCUUUGCUUCCCAAUAUAUUUAGGGAAAGGGGCGUUCAGCCACUUGACUCAUCGGAAGGGGCCUUGUCGGCCACCGCUUGCUGACGACGGAAUGCAUAGUCAAUUAAAGGGUCCUCGCCUUGGACUUAGUUGGAAAGGUAGGUGUUCGGCAUGUCCCUUGCUUGCGAACUUCUUUAGUAGGGCGGAGGUGCCAUUCCUCACGUUUACCCUUGUCCCCAGACUUCACUCUUUCAACACUUGUAUACUUUCUAAAGAGUCAGGCAUGCCCCUGUCCCUGUCUCCAAGUGUGUGAUCCACCGAUUCACUGAGUGACUUUUUCUUACCGCUGCGCUGGAGUCCCUAUCUCUUAAAGGGUUGGUGUGGCAGACUUCCCCCUUGUUUGCUAAUUUAAGAAAGCCUUAUAUGGAUUCAAAUAAGCGAGAAAGUCCCUUUCUAUUGUCAUUAUUCAAGUCCCUUUCUAUCUUCAUUAUUCAAGCGCGCUAGUUGCAAUCAAAAAAGAGAGCUAACGAGCAAGAAAAGGGAUGCACUAAGAAGCAAGGGCUUUUGCGCAGCUACUGCGCCCUUGCUUCUUGCUUUUGAGCCGGAGCUUGCUGGGUAGUGAAGUUGUCCGUGAAUGUUAAAUAAGACUUGUGUUAAGAAAAUAGAGUAGUCAAGCCAAAAAAGCAAGAAGUGGUUUUCGUUCGAUCGACGGAAUCAAUCGUACUUUCACUGCUGUGGACCGGCUUUCAUAAAGCACCUUUGGGCAGCAGCUACUAUUGGGACCUAAUUUCGAGAUCAAUUUGACAAUGAAACUCUUUAAUCAAUGAUCUUAUCUAUGUCAUUUCUCUUGACGCGAUACAAAAGAUGACUUUCUAGAAUCACUUAGCCUCUUGACCUCUUCUCUCAAAAAAGACGUUGUGCAGGCAAGUCAUCAAAGUCAGAGCGGGGAGGGAAUGUUUAUUUAUAGUUGUUGUAGUAUGACUUUUCAUUUCCUGUUCGGUCUUUCAAUAAGUAGUCAGCUGCGGACGUAGUCAGACGUCGACAUUGAUUGAAGCAGCUAUUGGAGAGAAGGCACCAGUCAGACCUGCAAGCACCGGGUAGUAUGCAGUGGUAAUUUCAAUCAUACAAUGUGUUCUCUUAGUAUGAAUUUUAGCGGUAGUCAGUUGUCCUCGUUCUCCUCUUUGAAUUGCCCUACUGAGUAAGGGUCGGUGCUUGCAAAAAUAUCGAGUCGACGGGGUUAAGUACCAGUAGUGACACUAGCAAAGGGGGUCUGGACACUACUUGUGUGAGUGGAAUGACCCAACUGGACCUAGUCAGCCCGAACCAUUUUGUGGUUCUAGAGGACCCUGAACCAGAAGAGGCAAAGAUGCCAGAUCUGGACACUGCUGAACUGGAAGAGAUUGCUCAGGAUGAGUGUUUGGGUAACAAAGUCGAGGAGGGUGUAGUCAAGGAGAAAACUCCUAAGGAGAGUGAUUUGGCUCAUAGAAGCAAGGAUCUGGAAGAGAGGGUCAACUAUGGCAGUGACUGAGGGUGACUUGUUCUGUGAUAAACAAAUGACUUCAAACCUCAGGGCAUCCAAAAGAGGUGAACCUGAGAAGAGCAGUAAGAGUAAGCGUUCAAGUACUGGUGCUAUGACCUUAAAGGUGGAAGAUCCUCCCCUGGUUCGAAUCACCCUGAAUGAAGAGUGGGCGAACAAGAUGCAAAACAUAUCAUAAAUGUUGAAUUCUAAGAAAGAGGGGGGCCCUUCCCGCGGAUGUGCCUUUAUUUAUAUUCUUUCAAUUUUAGAAUUACCAAUGGAGAAUCUUUCUACAAAAAUCUCUCUGGCAAAACGCAAUUCAUCGAGUUCAAUUCAAGGUGCACUUUUGUUUUUCAGGUAUCUUUUUCUUAUGCCUAUUUAGCUAGUGGGACAUUGGUCAUAGCCGAAAUUCGUCGAAGGGAUAAAACCAAAAUAAAGAAGAGAAAGAAAGGGAAGUUUUUUCUUUCUUUCAAUCCAAAUAAGAGAACAAAGAAAUCACUCCAAAAUGAAAGUUAGAUAAAGAAGUGUUAGUAAGAACUAGCACUAGACUUCUUCCCCCCUUUCUUUUUGACUUUUUCUCUAUCCUUUUGUUUGUGCUUCCACCCGGGCUUUUCAUUUUGUUUUAUAGAGACCCGAGGAAAUUCUAUAUAAUAAAUGUAGAAAGGUGAGGGUGAGAUACUUUCCCCGGCAUACAGAAAGAAAAUCCAGGAUGACGGCUUUCAAAAGACAAGUAAGGGAUUGGGAGAGGGCGACUGAAAAGGAGGCUCGACCUACAGAGAGAAGGAGUCUCUCGAAACCAAAUAAGACUAUAAAGAACAUGGGAAUUAGCACCAUUCAUAUGAGUGCUUUUGUUUUGUCUCUUCGAGAUAACAAAACAAAAAGACAGCCCUCUCUAUAUCUCGGUCUCGAUUUAGCAUCAUAUAUUGCUCUGGAGAGCUUUUUUUUUGGUUGUAGUGAGGAUGUUGGAGAAGCUCCUCUAUGUUGUGGGUGUGGAGGGGGGGCUGUCACCACUUGAUAGAGGUAGAAGUGGGGGCCACCGGAGCUAUCUGCAUCGAGUGUUUCAAUUAAAAGGAGAAGGGAGACAACUUAAAUGCCCGUACAAAAAUAGAAAGAGUCAUCCUUCAAAGUGGAAUUCUUCUAAGAUCCAUUGCUCAAUUUUGCUGCAUGCUUUGCUCCCAAAAUGCAGAGAGACU
rnacentral:lncRNA from 1 species